rnacentral:rRNA from 1 species
GGCGGGAUCCACAAACCAAGCAGGGUUGGGCCUGGUCAGUACAUGGAUGGGUGACCUGCCAGGAGAACAAAGUGGUGCUGUCU